rnacentral:rRNA from 1 species
UGGGGAAUUUUGGACAAUGGGCGAAAGCCCGAUCCAGCAAUGCCGCGUGUGUGAAGAAGGCCUUCGGGUUGUAAAGCACUUUUGUCCGGAAAGAAAUCCUCUGGGUUAAUACCUCGGGGGGAUGACGGUACCGGAAGAAUAAGCACCGGCUAACUACGUGCCAGCAGCCGCGGUAAUACGUAGGGUGCAAGCGUUAAUCGGAAUUACUGGGCGUAAAGCGUGCGCAGGCGGUUUUGUAGACGGAUGUGAAAUCCCCGGGCUUAACCUGGGAACUGCAUUCGUGACUGCAAGGCUAGAGUAUGGCAGAGGGGGGUAGAAUUCCACGUGUAGCAGUGAAAUGCGUAGAGAUGUGGAGGAAUACCGAUGGCGAAGGCAGCCCCCUGGGCCAAUACUGACGCUCAUGCACGAAAGCGUGGGGAGCAAACAGGAUUAGAUACCCUGGUAGUCCACGCCCUAAACGAUGUCAACUAGUUGUUGGGGAUUCAUUUCCUUAGUAACGUAGCUAACGCGUGAAGUUGACCGCCUGGGGAGUACGGUCCGCAAGAUUAAAACUCAAAUGAAUUGACGGGGUCAUAGCUGUUUCC